UACGAAGGGGGCGAGCGUUGUUCGGAAUUACUGGGCGUAAAGGGCGCGCAGGCGGCCCUUGAAGUCAGGCGUGAAAGCCCCGGGCUCAACCUGGGAGGUGCGCUUGAUACUCGAGGGCUUGAGUGCGGGAGAGGAGAGUGGAAUUCCCAGUGUAGAGGUGAAAUUCGUAGAUAUUGGAAAGAACACCAGUGGCGAAGGCGGCUCACUGGCUCGGUACUGACGCUGAGGUGCGACAGCGUGGGGAGCAAACAGG
rnacentral:rRNA from 1 species